rnacentral:rRNA from 1 species
UAAAGCUACUAAGAGCUAAUGGAGAAUGCCUUGGUACUGACAGCCGACGAAGGACGUGUAAAGCUGCGAUAAGCUACGGGGAGUUGCUAAAAGACCUUGAUCCGUAGAAAUCCGAAUGGGGAAACCCUGCAAGGUUAAAACCUUGUAAUCCACAUAUGAAUACAUAGUAUGUGCGAAGGAAAGCCUGUGAACUGAAACAUCUUAGUAACAGGACGAAAAGAAAAUAAAUCAAUGAUUCCGAAAGUAGCGGCGAGCGAAAUUGGAAGAGCCUAAACAGUAUGUACGUGAUAGACUGCAAUCGUUGUGCAUAUUGAGUUGUGGGACUUACGGUAUAAUUUGCAGAUUAUACAAAGAGUUACAAAAUUAUUUAUUAGCUAAAUCCAACUGGGAAGUUGAGCCAUAGCGGGUGAUAGCCCCUUAAGCGACAAUAAAUAAUCUCUUGUAAGUAUCCCGAGUAAGGCGGGGCACGUGAAACCCUGUCUGAAUCCACCGGGACCAUCCGGUAAGGCUAAAUACUAGUCAGUGACCGAUAGUGAACGAGUACAGUGAUGGAAAGGCGAAAAGAACAGUGAGAAGCUGAGUGAAAUAGACCCUGAAACCGUUAGCUUACAAUCAGUUAGAGCCCUAUAAAUAGGGUGAUAGCGUGCCUGUUGAAGAAUGAGCCGGCGAGUUAUUUUAUGUUGCAAGGUUAAGGAGUUAACAUCCGGAGCCCCAGCGAAAGCGAGUUUGAAAAGAGCGUUAAGUAACAUGAAAUAGACCCGAACCUUGGUGAUCUAACCUUGACCAGGAUGAAGCGUGGGUAACACUACGUGGAGGUCCGAACCAACCGAUGUUGAAAAAUCGGUGGAUGAGUUGAGGUUAGGGGUGAAAUGCCAAUCGAACCAAGAGCUAGCUGGUUCUCCCCGAAAUGCGUUUAGGCACAGCGUCAGAAUUAUCUUACAGGAGGUAGAGCACUGGUUUUGUGCGGGCGGCGAAAUGCUGUACCAAACAAUGUCAAACUCCGAAUGCCUGUAAAGUUACUAUCUGGCAGUGAGGCUACGAGUGAUAAGAUCCGUGGCCAAGAGGGAAACAGCCCAGAACGCCAGUUAAGGUCCCUAAUAUAUGCUAAGUGGUUAAGGAGGUAGAGUUACUGAGACAACCAGGAGGUUGGCUUAGAAGCAGCCAUCCCUUGAAAGAGUGCGUAAUAGCUCACUGGUCAAGCGACUCCGCGCCGAAAAUACACCGGGACUCAAGCAUAUAACCGAAGCUGCGUCAUUUGAGUUUACUCAGAUGGGUAGGGGAGCGUUCUGUUGUAGGACGAAGUAAGAUCGAAAGGACUUAUGGACGAAGCAGAAGUGAGAAUGUCGGCAUAAGUAGCGAAAACAUUGGUGAGAAUCCAAUGCACCGUAAACCUAAGGUUUCCCCUGGCAGGCUCGUCCGCAGGGGGUUAGUCGGAACCUAAGAUGAGGCCGAAAGGCGUAGUCGAUGGACAUCAGGUUGAUAUUCCUGAACUAUCUGGUAAUCGUUAUCAGAUGCGGAGGGACGCAGGAGGAUAGGCACGCAGCCGACUGGAAGAGGCUGUUUAAGCGUGUAGCUAGUUUGAGUAGGAAAAUCCGCUCAGGCGUUAUGACGUGAGGCGUAAUGAGGAGAGUCUACGGACUCGAAGGUGUUGACUCCACACUGCCAAGAAAAACUUCGCACUCGAGAUUAUCCGGUAUCCGUACCGUAAACCGCCACAGGUAGGUUAGUAGAACAUACUAAGGUGCGCGAGACAACUCUCGCUAAGGAACUCGGCAAAAUCACCUCGUAACUUCGGGAGAAGAGGUACCCUGGUAGAGUGAAGCGAUUUACUCGUGGAGCUUGAUAGGGUCGCAGUGAAUUGGCCCAUGCGACUGUUUACCAAAAACACAGGUCUCUGCUAAGUCGAACAAGACGAUGUAUAGGGGCUGACGCCUGCCCGGUGUCGGAAGGUUACGUGGAAGGGUUAGUAGUAAUACGAAGCUCUGAAACUAAGCCCCGAUGAACGGCGGCCGUAACUAUAACGGUCCUAAGGUAGCGAAAUUCCUUGUCAGGUA